AAAGAGCCCACACACUUUACGGGAUCUUUGUAGGAUAUGAGAACAAAACAGAGAAAACAGAACUCACCAAAAGACUGCACCACAAAAUUAGAAAUCAAUCAUAAAAAGCCAGUCAAAACUUCCAACAAUUUAUAGGUUGAAGAAG
rfam:Loxodonta africana unplaced genomic scaffold scaffold_7, whole genome shotgun sequence.